rnacentral:misc_RNA from 1 species
AAAGUCGUAACAAGGUUUCCGUAGGUGAACCUGCGGAAGGAUCAUUACCGAACAUUUUGUGCACCCUCUUGCAGGCGGCGACCACUUGUCAGCCUGCCACCAGCAUUUGAUGAUAAUCAACCCCGACUCAUUUCCUGACACCAAUCAGGUUGUGAUUUUGAAAUGGCUCAUCACCCUGCACCACAGGGGGGUUGCCUUUUCAACAUGUCAGAGUUGGUUAGAAGUCAGAUGCUACACACAAACAUGUCAUUGUAUGGCGUUGAACUUAAACAUAUAAUAUAACUUUCAACAACGGAUCUCUUGGCUCUC